rnacentral:rRNA from 1 species
AACGAACGCUGGCGGCAUGCCUAACACAUGCAAGUCGAACGAAGCCUUCGGGCUUAGUGGCGCACGGGUGCGUAACGCGUGGGAAUCUGCCCUUUGGUUCGGAAUAACAGUUGGAAACGACUGCUAAUACCGGAUGAUGGCGAAAGUCCAAAGAUUUAUCGCCAGAGGAUGAGCCCGCGUAGGAUUAGCUAGUUGGUGUGGUAAAGGCGCACCAAGGCGACGAUCCUUAGCUGGUCUGAGAGGAUGAUCAGCCACACUGGGACUGAGACACGGCCCAGACUCCUCCGGGAGGCAGCAGUGGUGAAUAUUGGACAAGGGGCGAAAGCCUGAUCCAGCAAUGCCGCGUGAGUGAUGAAGGCCCGAGGGUUGUAAAGCUCUUUUACCCGGGAUGAUAAUGACAGUACCGGGAGAAUAAGCCCCGGCUAACUCCGUGCCAGCCGCCGCUGUAA